rnacentral:tRNA from 4 species
UGCGGAGUAGACUGGAGGCGGUUCCAGCACAGUCUCAUAAGCUGAUCUACGGUGGUUCGACUCCACCCUCCGCAAC